rnacentral:rRNA from 1 species
UACGGAGGGGGGCAAGCGUUGUUCGGAAUUAUUGGGCGUAAAGGGUGCGUAGGCGGUUUGGUAAGUCUUAUGUGAAAUCUACAGGCUCAACUUGUAGUCUGCAUGAGAAACUGCCGGGCUUGAGUAUGGGAGAGGUGAGUGGAAUUCCUGGUGUAGCGGUGAAAUGCGCAGAUAUCAGGAAGAACACCCGUGGCGAAGGCGGCUCUCUGGGACGUGACUGACGCUGAGACGCGAAAGCGUGGGGAGCGAACAGG